UACAUGGGGUGCAAACGUUGCUCGGAAUUAUUGGGCGUAAAGCGCACGUAGGCGGUUCGUUAAGUCGGAUGUGAAAGCCCUCGGCUCAACUGAGGAAGUGCACCCGAAACUGGCGAGCUUGAGUACGAAAGAGGAUCGCGGAAUUCCCGGUGUAGAGGUGAAAUUCGUAGAUAUCGGGAGGAACACCGGUGGCGAAAGCGGCUCACUGGACCAUAACUGACGCUGAUGCACGAAAAGUGUGGGGAUCAAACAGG
rnacentral:rRNA from 1 species